AGCCAUAGAGAGAAAGAGUUGCGACACUCCCAUUUGGACUCCGUUGUACGCUUUUUGCCGCCUACUUCCGGGGUAUGCAGCCUCGCGUAGUUCCAAAAAGCCAUUCUAUGGCGUUGGACAUCAUUCACUUCCAUUGCUGACUGUCGAGUAAUUUCUGAGGUAAGUUGAUUAAAUAGCUACCUGUUUUGAACUGUCAACUGUCUAUAUUUUAUCAGAGGCCCUUUAUGAUGCAUAUACUGAUCUUUAUUUGUAUGUACACAGCGUAAUUAUAUAUAUGUUUUAUCUUGGUAGACCACCGAUUGCCUGCUAGUUUGUUAGCUUGACUUCGCCCUCUGUAAAGGUAACGUUAACGUUAUAUCCAGGCGUAAAUUGAUUAAAUAGCUACCUCUUUUGAAUUGUCAACUCUGUAUAUUAUAUAAAUAGGCCCUUUAUGGUGCAUAUGCUUAUAUUUAUUUGUAUGUGCACAGUGCAAUUUAUAUAUAUUUUCUUAACUUGGUAGACAACCGAUUUUCAGUCAUUGCCUGCUACUUAGUUAUCUCGAUUUUGCAAGCUGUGAAGAAGGUAUCGCUACACCAAAAAUUACGAAGUUCAGUAGUGAAUCUCUGACAUAUUUUAUUUAGUAAAUUAUUGAUGUUAGAUUACUAGGAUCUUUAAGGUUGAUUAAGGACGUUUUUUUUUAGGUUGUAUCUGCUGAACCUGGCGGUGUUAGUUAGUCAGCUGAGUACUGUGUAUCUGAUGCUAGUAGAAAUAAGGCGGCUGCUGCUGGAGGCGAUGACUGCUUGAGCUGGCUGGUGUUGGAGAAGGAUGGUGAUGGCGGCUGCUGCUGGUAAUGGUGGCGGCUGCUGGUAAUGGUGGCUGUUGCUGCUGGUGGCGGCUGCUGCUGGUAGCUGCUACUGCUGGUGGAAGAGAAAGUAUUUUUUAGGCAGUCCUGAGUGAACUGGCUUGUUAGAACAUAUUUGUGCCCCUGUCUCAACAGAUCUUGCUGGACCACCAGUAUCGUUGUUGUGGCCACUGUACGUAUGUUUUUUGAUAUUAUUCAUGCUUGUUCCUUGUUUAUGCUUGUUCCCAUUUUUUUUUGUUCCACACUGUUCAUUUUUAUCUUAUGCCAGGUACCUUUAUUAUGAAUGUUGUCCUUCCUUUCAGCCCUGAUGCACUCUGAAGCCUGAUUUGUGGAGGA